rnacentral:rRNA from 1 species
AUUGAACGCUGGCGGCAUGAUUUACACAUGCAAGUCGAACGGUAACAGGCCGCAAGGUGCUGACGAGUGGCGAACGGGUGAGUAAUGCAUCGGAACGUGCCCAGUCGUGGGGGAUAACUACUCGAAAGAGUAGCUAAUACCGCAUACGAUCUAUGGAUGAAAGCGGGGGACCGUAAGGCCUCGCGCGAUUGGAGCGGCCGAUGUCAGAUUAGGUAGUUGGUGGGGUAAAGGCUCACCAAGCCAACGAUCUGUAGCUGGUCUGAGAGGACGACCAGCCACACUGGGACUGAGCCACGGCCCAGACUCCUACGGGAGGCAGCAGUGGGGAAUUUUGGACAAUGGGCGCAAGCCUGAUCCAGCAAUGCCGCGUGCAGGAAGAAGGCCUUCGGGUUGUAAACUGCUUUUGUACGGAACGAAACGGCUCUGGUUAAUACCCGGGGCUAAUGACGGUACCGUAAGAAUAAGCACCGGCUAACUACGUG